CACAAUAUGUUUUGAAUUGGCUAUCUAGUCUGUUGUCUUAUUUUAUAGCCUACAUGCUGUAAUGUGUCUCUCUCUCGCUCUCUCUAGCUCUCUCGCUCUCGCUCUCGCUCUCUCUCUCGCUCUCUCGCUCUCAGGCCCAGUCGCACACAGGUGACUCAUACAUCUUUACUUUUCCAGGAUUUUCAUGACUGUACGAACCUUGUUUGCUGACCCAAGACUUGCUAUAACUGGGUGCACGUGUGGACACUGCCAUCCAAUGACCACAGCAAGAGAGAGAAUCUGCAGUAGCUAGAUUGAUGCCUACUGGGGUUUAGUGGAGGACCUUUCCCCAAGCCAGGACAUCUCCUGUCUGUCCCUGCAUCCAGGUUUUGAGCCAUCUUGCCUCAACCCAUUUGUGCUGGGAAUUGCAUACAUGGUCGUCAGACAGAAACACAGACCACUCCAUGUCAUUGCUUAUGAAAAACCGUUACAGAACCACCCACCAACCAAGGACCAAGCGGCGUGGUAACAGGCAGCAGCAGCAGCAGGAGAGGCAGCAAUGUCAGGACUCCUGGAAAUGGGAGGACGUUUUGAACAGUAAGCGUUGCUACACAUGGGAGGAGAUCCUGGCUGGAAGGGAUCGCCUCCCAUGGGAACAGGUGGAGGCAGCUAGGAGAGUGGAGGCAGCCGGAGAGAGGAGCCAGCGAUAUGAGGGAACACGGCUGUCAAGGAAGCCCGAGAGGCAGCCCCAAAACUUUCUUGGGGGGUGGCACACAGGGAGUGUGGCGAAGCCAGGUAGGAGUCCUGCGCCAACUUCCUGUGUUUACCGGAGAGCGAGAGAGACCGGGCAGGCACCGUGUUAUGCUGUGGAGCACACGGUGUCCCCAGUGCGGGUGCAUAGCCCGGUGCGGUACAUACCAGCUUCUAGAGUGGGCAUCGAGCCGGGUGCCAUGAAGUCGGCUCUACGCAUCUGGUCUCCAGUGCGUCUCCUUGGGCCGGCAUACAUGGCACCAGCCUUAUGCAUGGUGUCCCCGGUUCGCCAGCACAGCCCAGUGCGGGAUAUUCCACCUUGCCACACUGGCAGGGCGACCGGGAGCAUUUAACCAGUUAAGGUUGGGCAGGCUCGGUGCUCAAGAGCUCCAGUGCGCCUGCACGGUCCGGUCUAUCCAGUACCACCUCCACGCACCAGCUCUCCGGUGGCAGCCAACCGCACCGG
rnacentral:lncRNA from 1 species